CGUAACUCGUCAGUCACUCGUUCGUUGUGUUCGAUGGGCUCACGCCUCCCCCGCGAUCCUCCGCCCGUCCGCCGCCGGCCGGCCGCCGCAUGUGCCAUGACCUCGCAGCGCCGUCCUGGUGCACGGCAUUUUUCCUGCACACGCAGUGUGGAAAUCCAAUCCAAUCCAAUCCAAUCCAAUCCAAUCUCCGCUGACAUCUCCCCACCCCACGCCCACACACCCACGCUCUCCGUAGCAUGACACCAAGAACGGCGGCGGCGCUGUCAGGUCGUCUACUCCGCGGCAAGAAGGCAGUGAACCUCGCACCAGAGCAGGUCCCGAAGCUGCUAGCUACGCUCGCGUCACCUGCACGGCUUGAGGAGGAUGGCGCUCGUCUCCGUCAUCCUCCCGCGCCCGCCACCCGUUCGAGAAAAUUCCUCGCCGGGAUGACGAGGUGGGCGCCAUCCGCGUGCUCUUCGACUAUAUGCGCCGCGCGGGAUGGUCUCUCGGAGGUACUGUGGAUCAGUUCUCUGCCGCGCGACGCGGCGGCGUGCCCGUUGACGGCGCCACGGUGUCCUGUGUUCUCAAGGUUUGUGGGUUCGGUGCCGGACAGAGUUCUUGGGUAGCAGCUGCAUUGCCUGUGCGUCGAAUGUGGGCAUGAUCGAGGUGAGGUCAGUGUCGGUACGUCGCUUGUACAUGAAGUGCUGCAGCGUCUGUGAGGGGAGGGAGGUGUUUGAAGGGAUGCUUAAGAAGAAUGUCGUCACGCGGACAUGCUGACAAGUGCGUUGCUCACACAAAUUGCAUCAUGGUAUCACACAGAGAUCAGUGUUAAUACUAGAGCAUUGGUUUGUUAGCAUUGCCAGUGAAAGUCAGGUUGCCACAAGUGGUAUAAUUGCUUUGUGCAGAAACAGUAAUAAGCUUGCUCUCAUUACCUUCUCAAGUUUCGGCAUGCUGGAUUACAGGAAUCUGCAGCUACAUUGGACCACAUAGAUAUAAAAGUUCUUUUCACUGGCUCUGUUAUGCAUUCAUAAUCCACAACAAGCAGUUUUACUUGUGUUUUAAUACUGGAGUGGCUCAGCAAUGCCUGUGUAAAGAACAAAACUGUCCUAAUUUUUAAUGUAUCGGCAAUUUGAUGGCCUCAAUAACAAUAUAGGGCAUUGUAAACUGAUGGACUAUAUUCAACAAGGACAGGUUUAAAAAAUGCCAUACAGUAGUCUCUGCAACAUUUUGUUUGAGGUAAACAACUCAUGAGAAAUCACCUCCAGAAGCUCAACUUCACUGUAACUAGUCAGAUCCAGGUUUACUUUGGAGGGUUGACAGGGGCAAGCAGGGAAAAUUAGAGGUGAACAUCAUAAAGCUAUUAUUGAUUACGGAGAACUGGUCCAUAAACCAGGGCCAACAGAAGGUACGAAAGGAAUGAUUGCGUAAAUGGUGCAUCAGCUCCUGCAAAUGAGGGUCAAGCUUUAGCUUUAUAAAAUGACUUUGUGAUGGAUUAUAAACCGGUGAGAAGGAUAGAUUAUUCAGUACCGAGGCUAGAAAUCUGAGACGUGAUAAAGCUGCAUACUGCCAUGGAGAAGGAGACUAGCUGCCCGAGGAACACUAGGAACAUCAUGCUCCACGGCGCGCUCUUGUUCUUCAUGAGUCUGAGUACGGUUCAAGGAAAUCCAAGGUUAUAGUUGGUUCAGAAAAGCAUGAUAUACCUUUGACCAUGCUUCUUUGAAGAACACCUUUCACGUGCUUUCAGAGGAGGAAGGAAAUGGUGAAGAACACCCUCUGGAGAAGAGAAGAGCAGGCGAUGCUGCACUGGCAGGAGAAGCGUGCUGUGAACAGGGGGGAGAAUGGAGUUUCGAGUGGUUGGUAUAUUACAAAUGCUUUGAUGUGGUAUACUCCAAGGUUUUCUGUGCUCAGCAGGUCGGCAGCCGUCCAACUGGUAACCGCUCUACAGGCUAGAGGGAUCCUAGGGCCAUGCUUCCACAAACUAAGGACCUUUUUCGAUGUUGGAUCAGCCACAGGAGGAGGAGUACCCAGCACCUUUUCCCUCUGAAACAACACUUUGCAGAUGUCUUUCUGAUGCACCAUGCUCUUGCUUGACGUACGUCGUAAUGGCUAUGGGUUUCAUGCACGAUAGCGGAAUAAGAUUCACAUUGAUUUUGCUGAAUGGUGCCCCCAGGUAUGUGGCAGAAUUUUUCACCUGUUGGUGAUAGAAUAAAACUCGAAUGGCGACUGCCCACAUGUCGGAUGUUAGGAGUGAAAGGUUGAACAAUGUUGAUCCACUCAUCUGCAGGCAUAAUGAUCGUGAGAGAUUAAGAGCUGAAGUCAUAUUUACUGUAAAAUCAUAAUGAAAGGGCCUUCUGACUGAUAUUGAUUUCUGCAUCCUAGCUAGGUAAUAUUAUCUCUUCUUCAUAUGAUCAGGUUAUUCAAGUAAAUGACAACUACUGCUACAGUUUGAAUUAUAAGACUUU